rnacentral:rRNA from 1 species
AUGAAAGAGCUUGGUGGCAGUUUAAGAGUCAGAAAUGUCGAGAAUGUCACUGGAAAGAAUGAAGCCUUAGAGUCGAAGCUAUAUCAGAAAAGUCAUCUUGGAAGCUUGGCCCUUGUCUGGAGUUGCAAUAAUGGCAAGAAUGCAGAUGACAGUUUACAGUUGGAGAUUCUAGAAGGUUUGAUGCCACCGCCUCAACUGAAAGGCCUUGAGAUCAAGGGUUAUAAAUCUGCCACGUAUCCAAGUUGGUUACUUGAGGGUUCGUAUUUUGAGAAUUUGGAAUCUUUUAAGCUUGUCGAUUGCAGUGCCUUAGAAGACCUGCCACUCAAUACUGAGCUCUUCAGGCAUUGCUCAAAACUAGAGCUCGAGAGUGUCUCGACUCUGAAAACGUUAUCGUGUCUUCCAGCAACCCUUGCAUACUUAUCAAUUAGCAGUUGCCCACUGCUUAUAUUUAUUACCAGUGAUGAGCUAGAACAGCAUGAUCAGAGGGAAAACAUCAUGAGAACAGACUACUUGGCAUCACAACUUGCUUCGAUAUGGGAGGUGGAUUCUGUAUUGGGAAUUAGGGAAGUAUUAUCGUCUGAACAUUCAUCUCUGAAGCAAAUGAUGGCAUUAAUGGAUGCUGACAUGUCACAUCUUCAAACCAUUGCAAGUGCUCUAGAAAGAGAGAACGGCGAGGUAAUGCUGAAAGAUGAUAUAAUUAAAGCAUGGAUAUGUUGCCACGAGCAGAGGCUGAGAUUCAUUUAUGGAAGAAGCAUCAACUUGCCGUUGGUUCCACCAUCAGGUCUUCGCGAACUUCGUCUUUCUUCAUGCAGUGUUACAGAUGGGGCAUUAGCUGUUUGCCUUGGCGGUCUGACGUCACUGAGAAAUUUGUUCUUAAUGGAGAUCAUGACUUUAACUACACUUCCGUCGCAAGUGGUCCUCCAACAUUUGACAAAGCUGGACUUUUUGUUCAUCAGAUAUUGCUGGUGCCUCAAGUCAUUAGGAGGCUUACGAGCUGCUACCUCUCUUUCGAAAGUUAGAUUGAUUUCCUGCCCUUCUUUAGACUUGACACAUGGAGCAGGUUUAUUGCCGUCGUCUCUUGAGGAGCUCUGUAUAUACCAGUGCAUGGUUGCAGAUAAUUUCUUCAGUAGUGACUUGCCACACCUGAAAAUUCUUAGCAUGUAUGGCUGCAGAAGCUCCACUUCCUUGUCUAUCGGUCAUCUGACUUCCCUUGUAUCCUUAUCACUGGGACGUUGCCCUGAUCUGUGCUUUCUCGAAGGCCUGCCAUUCUUGCAACUUCACGACGUACAUUUGACAGAUGUCCCGAAGCUCAGCGCGAACUGCAUUUCACAGUUUCGGGUGCAGCAAUCACUCUAUGUUAGCAGCCUCGUGAUGCUCAACCAGAUGCUCUCGGAUGAAGGUUCUGUAGUUCCACCAUUUCUGUCUCUCGAAGGAUGCAAGGAAUCAUCCGUUUCAUUUGAAGAAUCUGCAAAAUUCACAUCCGUCAAGUGCCUUAGAUUAGGUGAGUGUGAAAUGUGGUCCCUACCAGGAAAUCUGAAGUGCUUCUCUAGUCUGACGACACUCGAUAUCUAUGACUGCCCCAACAUAUCAUCUUUAUCAGAUUUGCCAUCCUCCCUCCAACAUAUAUGUGUUUGGGGUUGUGAACGCUUGAACGAGAGCUGCCAAGCGCCUGACGGAGAAAGCUGGCCAAAAAUUGCGCAUAUCCGCUGGAAGGAUUUCAGAUGA